AUAUAAUUCUCCACAAAUAAACACCAUUGACUAUAAAACUAAAUAUUACAGUGUUUCCUUCUUUUAGUCUUGAGUUUCAACUAACUCUUUUACAAAAUAAUCAUGAUCAAGGAAAACAUGUACAUAGUGAUUGUUUAUUUGCUCCAAUGAAAAAACUGCAUCAUUUUGAGAUACAGUAUGCUUCUACCUCAGUGGCUGAUACACUUUUCCCUGCUGUUAUUGGUAACUUAAAUUUGUUGCUUACUUCUUAAUUAAGAUGAAUAUCAUCAACAUAAUUCCUAAACGAUUCUCCAAUAUUGAGUUGAAUAUCUAUAUUUGUAAAACUGGGUAAUUUGGAGAGAACAUGUUCUGGUAAAAAUGGAUAUAUGCCAGUAGCCUUAAAUCCUGCUUGGAGACUAUGUUCUAGAUUUUCUUUACCAACAUUAAGAGUAGAUUUAAUGAGCUGC
rnacentral:lncRNA from 1 species